AGCAGUGUCUGCUGCCUGGCACCAAGCCAGAGGCAUGUUAUGAUUCAUACCCACCUGACUGAACUCUUUUACCCCUAAAAACAGGGUGAUCACACCCAGCCUACCUUUUGGGAAUGGUCCCAAGAAUGUGCUGUUCUCUGCACUGUGCUAACAGACUGUUAGCCCAGAAUAAUGGGAAGUGGAUACCCUGAUGGACGACAGGAAGCCUUUAUAAUUUGUCAAACUACAAUUAAUAGCUGGCAAGCUCAAGACAAGCUCUCUGUCAGUAAAUACCAUUUGGGCCAGAGUCACUUAAAGAUUUCUGUCUUUGUGCCUCCAAGUUGGCAAGGUCAGCUGCAGCUCAGGCUGGAAUCUGAAUCUCAGAAGCAAUCCUCAUCCUGCAGAGCCCUCUUAGAAACUAUAUCCCAGGCCUCUAAGAUCAUGACUCUUUUACAUCUGGUGAGAAUAAAGGCAGAGAGACAGUAAGAAAAAAGCAAGGUCUGAUCUGUGUUUUUAAUGGAGUUUUGUCCUCCAGCUCUUCUCCGAGGUGAAUUUUCUUGCCAGAUAUUAUCAGCAGCAGUGGUUUGGCUCAGAUUUUUGCUCUAGAUUCUUUUGUCCUGUUGACUUUUGGAUCAACUCUGCACUGGCUCUGUUUUGAAGAUAGCUUUACCCAUAUUAAUGUUUAACUUACACAAGUAUUAAAUCAUAAGUUUAAUAUGGAAA